rnacentral:rRNA from 1 species
UACGUAGGGCGCAAGCGUUGUCCGGAAUUAUUGGGCGUAAAGAGCUCGUAGGCGGCUUGUCACGUCGGGUGUGAAAGCCCGGGGCUUAACCCCGGGUCUGCAUUCGAUACGGGCAGGCUAGAGUGUGGUAGGGGAGAUCGGAAUUCCUGGUGUAGCGGUGAAAUGCGCAGAUAUCAGGAGGAACACCGGUGGCGAAGGCGGAUCUCUGGGCCAUUACUGACGCUGAGGAGCGAAAGCGUGGGGAGAGAACAGG